GCAUCAUCAAGAAGGCCCGAGAGUCCCGGCUCUAUGACGGUCUGGCAACCCCCGAAAACGGGAAGGUGCCCCCGCCGGAUUCGAUGAGGA
rnacentral:ncRNA from 2 species